GUCCAGUCUCGACUGCGGCGCAUACAGCAUCGCGCGUGUAUGCAUGACGUUCCGGCAAUCUUGUAACUGCGCAUUUGUGCAAGCGCAACAAAUCAACCGCGUUGAACGAAUAAUUCCACAAAAUCAGCUGAUAUAAGACGAGCAAACCGACCGCUCGGAGCGCUCCUACAUCUCUAGUCUCUAGCCGUCAGUCAUGCCGCGAUAGCACGCGCAAAUGGACGCGUUGAACGGCCCGUCGCUGCGUUUACGCGGCGGCGUCAACGCAAACUGUGAGAGUAAAAAACAUGAGUUGAAUAUGUGCACCAGUGCCAUGUCGCCGGAGACGCAACGGCUGCUGCCGCCGACGUCGGAGACGAUCAUGACGAAACCGUUUCCCAUACGAGGUGAAAGGGCCAACUAUGUAAACAUUCCCCAUGUAAUCGCGAUGGUAGGUCUGCCUGCGCGCGGCAAGACGUAUAUCUCAAAGAAACUGUCACGGUACCUUAAUUGGAUUGGAAUAAAUACCAGGGUAUUCAACCUCGGCGAGUACAGAAGGCAUGCGACCACAGCGUACACAAGUCAUGAGUUCUUCCGAGCUGACAAUAAAGAGGCGAUGGCCAUCAGACAGCAGUGUGCGUUGGACGCCUUGCAUGAUGUGUGCGAGUGGCUGGUCAAGGGGGGGGAGGUGGCUGUGUUCGACGCGACAAACUCGACGAUGGAGCGGCGGCGGAUGAUCCGUGACAUCGUUGUUCACAAAAUGGGCUUCAAACUCUUCUUCGUGGAGUCCAUCUGUGACGACCCUAGGAUCAUUGAGCAGAAUAUUAUGGAAGUAAAAGUCAGCAGUCCAGACUAUACAAACAUACAGAACACAGACAACGUUCUAAACGACUUCCUCCUUCGCAUAGAGCAUUACAUGGAAAAGUAUGAGCCGCUCAACGAAAGCCUGGAGUCAGAGUAUAGUUUCAUGAAGAUAUAUGAUACGGGCGAGAAGGUGGUAGUCCAUAAACACGAGGGGCAUAUACAGAGCAGGAUUGUUUACUAUCUGAUGAAUAUACAUAUAGUGCCAAGGACUAUUUAUUUGACGAGGCACGGUGAGAGCAUGCACAACCUGGUGGGUCGCAUCGGCGGGGACAGUUCGCUGUCUGCCCGGGGCCGGCAGUACGCGAGUGCUCUGGCCGGGUACAUCUCGCAGCAGCACAUCCCGGGGCUGCGCGUGUGGAGCUCGUGGAUGAAGCGCGCCAUACAGACGGUGAAGGACGUGCGCGCGCCGCAGGAGCGGUGGAAGGCGCUCAACGAGAUCGACGCGGGCAUCUGCGAAGAGAUGACAUACGCUGAGAUCCAAGAGAAAUACCCGACAGACUUCAACGCUAGAGACGCGAACAAGUUCGCGUACCGGUACCCGCGCGGGGAGAGCUACGAGGACCUGGUGGCGAGGCUGGAGCCCGUCAUCAUGGAGCUGGAGCGGCAGGGCAACGUGCUGGUGGUCUCCCACCAGGCCGUCAUGAGGUGUCUGCUGGCUUACUUCCUGGAUAAGUCCGCUGAAGAGCUCCCCUACCUGCACGUGCCACUCCAUACUGUGAUCAAGCUCACACCAGUCGCGUACGGAUGUAGAGAAGAACACAUCAAGCUAUCCGUUGAUGCCGUGGACACACACCGGCCUAAACCCUCUGAUGAAGACAACGCUGCCGUCGAAAAUAACGUAACAUACUCAGAAAAAUAAUUACAAUGCAUCUCAGUAGUAGACAAUAAAAUGUAUGAAUAUCGCAAGAAAUCACAUUUGAAGGUGAUACCAGCCCCGCCUAUAAAGCCUCCCGUCCCGCCAAUUUUGAAUGGCGAUACGAACGGCGAAGAUAAAGACAAUCAACAUUAACAUAGAUAGAUAAUCACCAUAGACAAGUUUAUCAUUUUAGCUUCUGACCAAUAAAUCGUGAAUGGUUAAUAUGCUGGCAUAUGACUUCAAUCACCUGACGACCUUCUAUUUAAUACAUAAUAAAAUAUUUUAAAUAUGGUAUAUUUACAAAAAAAAUACAUUUAAUUGUUCCAAUUUCAAUUUUGUACCCUCAGUGGGUAUUCGUAUUUUACUAUAUUAUUCCAAAAAAAUGUAUGUUUUCAAGAUUAUGUUAUUUUUUGUUAGCAUAAAUGAAUAUAUGUAUAUUUUUUGGGUUGCCAGGGAAGUCACAGAAUGUCGACAUGAGACUGAUGUUAAGUGAGUGUACUCUUAAGUCAUAUUAAAACGCCAUGAUAAAAAGUAAAAAAAAAAUGAAAUUAAAUUUCAUCAAUUUCCAUUGUAUAUAUUAUUAUGAAAAGUGCGGAGUCACAUUUAUAUUAAUUAUUACUUACAAUUUUAAUAUUUUUUCGUUUUUAUUGCAAUAGAAAAAUGAUUCCUACAUUUGUAGUUGUUCAAGAGUUAUAAGAAAUGAAAGAAUAAAUUCUGUAUGGUAUUGUAAAAGAAAGCAAUAAAAAAUAAAACUUUA